rnacentral:rRNA from 1 species
UACAGAGGGUGCGAGCGUUAAUCGGAAUUACUGGGCGUAAAGCGCGCGUAGGCGGCUAUGCAAGUCGAGUGUGAAAUCCCCGGGCUCAACCUGGGAACUGCAUUCGAGACUGCAUUGCUUGAGUAUGGGAGAGGGAGGCGGAAUUUCAGGUGUAGCGGUGAAAUGCGUAGAUAUCUGAAGGAACAUCAGUGGCGAAAGCGGCCUCCUGGACCAAUACUGACGCUCAUGUGCGAAAGCGUGGGGAGCAAACAGGAUUAGAUACCCUGGUAGUCCACGCCAUAAACGAUGAGAACUAGAUGUCGGGAGGGUUAGCCUCUCGGUGUCGCAGCUAACGCGUUAAGUUCUCCGCCUGGGGAGUACGGCCGCAAGGUUGAA